rnacentral:misc_RNA from 1 species
AACGGUCUAUACCUGCGGUACCUGCGGAGGGAUCAUUAGUGAACGCCCUCACGGGCUUAUAACUAUUCCAAACCUCUGCGAACCGUGCCCUUCGGGGCUAUUUUACAAACAUGGUGUAAUGAACGUCAUAUAUCAUAACAAAACAAAACUUUUAACAAUGGAUCUCU